rnacentral:pre_miRNA from 1 species
UUUUAAAUUCAUUUAUUUUUACUGUUAAAACUUGACUUGAUUGACGAAAUAACCAAACAAUUACACUGGUGUGAAACAUGUACUUCAUUCUGAUAUACAGUAAUCAGUUUUUAAUUGUAAAAAUAGAUGAAAAUAUUAAUA